GGAGUGGAGAUACUUAGGCUCCCCAGAGAAAUUAGUCACAAGUCUUAUCCCUUCAUCUCCAUUUACAGCCAUUUAUUUGGGAGCAACAUACUUUAAAUGAGUGAUAAACAAAAUGUCUCCCCACAGCCCCCACCCCAGCAUGUGUUCUGAAGUUCACAGGAAGGCUUCUCCUCAUUUGCUUUGGGGCCCGCAGGCUGCCUGCUAACAGCUGGGUCUUCCCAUGAACAAAUUAGACAGUUAAUGUUCCAGGAUGAAGAGGGCUUCGGGGAACAGAAUCUGCCGUUUAUUUGACUUGCUUCAUUAGACACAGUGCCAUCAUACCAAAAUUAGAAAAAAGAAGGAACUCAGCGGAAAUCAGCUACACAAGAAGAACCUCUCAGUUCUGAGAAUUCACAUUAACCAGUGAUUAAGAAAUAUUAAAAAGGGCUGAUAGUCCACUACGUUAUCAAGUUCAAAGCCUAAGAAAUAUUGAACAUUUCCACACAUGAAUGUGGGUACUAUGUUUAAUUUGAGAAUGGCCAACUGUCCUCGAAGUCUCAAUCUCUUUGGAGCCUACCAGCUCCGAGAGAAGUUUGAGGAUGCUGCAAAACCCUCCCCUGCAAAUCCAUCUACUCCUCCCACUUCUAUCCUAAUGGGUAUAGUUCUUGGCUGUGCUGAGGAUCUGUAAGGCACCAGAUGUGAAAGUAAGGAAGAAAGAUGGAUGUGGAAGAAAGUCACUGCCCAGAGAAUAAGGAGACCUGGAUUCUAAUCUCAGCUCUGCCAUUAACUAGCUAUGAAACUAUGGCUCAAAAGGGAAUAAGAGAUCAAGGCAAGCAUGGACAUCUUGUACGUGGAAGUGCAGACCAGAACUUGUAUCACAGCCAGUCAUAUCUGGUGCUUUCCAUGCUACUUUUACAUACAUGUUGCCAGUAAUGAUGUUUCUGGUGAUCUGGCUCAGAAGGCUGAGCUGAUGAGUGAUCACUCAGAAAUACUGAAUCAGGCAAUGGAAAUUCUGAAUCGGUGGGCUCUGGAGAAGGAACUGAGGGCGAGGUGACUCGGGGCCGGAGGGCUAUUAUGGACUAUGGACAAGCUGAAGGCAUGGGAAGCCUGACCAGUAGAUAGAGGAAUAUGAACUUGGUGGACAGGGAAAAGCAGGGACGUCAUGAACGAAAGACCACAGACCCUCUGUUCUAGUCCAUGGGGCCAGGCUGUGCUCCACUGCCUACUCUUGGAUUCCCCAAAGAAUGCUUUAUGUCCUUAUAAUAAAUCCACCUUUCCAUGGACAAAAA
ensembl:lncRNA novel transcript